rnacentral:tRNA from 1 species
UAGAUGAAUGCUCUCUGGUUUGGGCGCUUAGCUGUUAACUAAGAUUUUGUGGGAUCGAGGCCCACUCAUCUAU